GGGCGAUUGACUCAGUUGGUUCAGAGUGCCUCCCUUACAAGGAGGAAGUCACAGGUUCGAAUCCUGUAUCGCCCACCA
rnacentral:tRNA from 1 species